rnacentral:rRNA from 2 species
UGCGAGUGAAGUGGGAAGAGCUCAAAUUUGAAAUCUGGCAGUCUCUGGCUGUCUGAGUUGUAAUCUAGAGAAGUGUUACCUGCGCUGGACCGUGUACAAGUCUCCUGGAACGGAGCGUCAUAGAGGGUGAGAAUCCCGUCUCUGACACGGACUGACCAGGGCUUUGUGGUAUGCUCUCGAAGAGUCGAGUUGUUUGGGAAUGCAGCUCAAAAUGGGUGGUAAACUCCAUCUAAAGCUAAAUACCGGCGAGAGACCGAUAGUGAACAAGUACCGUGAGGGAAAGAUGAAAAGAACUUUGGAAAGAGAGUUAAACAGUACGUGAAAUUGCUGAAAGGGAAACGCUUGAAGUCAGUCGCGUUGGCUGGGGAUCAGCCUCACUCGUUUGUGUGGUGUAUUUCCCAGUUGACGGGUCAGCAUCAAUUUUGACCACUGGAGAAAGGCUUGAGGAAUGUGGCAGCCCUGGCUGUGUUAUAGCUUCUCGUCAGAUACGGUGGUUGGGAUUGAGGUGUGCAGCACGCCGUAAGGCCGGGGGCUUUUGAACCCACGUCCGUGCUUAGGAUGUUGACAUAAUGGCUUUAAGCGACCCGUCUUGAAACACGGACCAAGGAGUCUAACAUGCCUGCGAGUGUUUGGGUGGAAAACCCGUGCGCGCAAUGAAAGUGAAAGUUGAGAUCCCUGUCGUGGGGAGCAUCGACGCCCGGACCUGAACUUUUGGGAUGGAUCUGCGGUAGAGCAUGUAUGUUGGGACCCGAAAGAUGGUGAACUAUGCCUGAAUAGGGCGAAGCCAGAGGAAACUCUGGUGGAGGCUCGUAGCGAUUCUGACGUGCAAAUCGAUCGUCAAAUUUGGGUAUAGGGGCGAAAGACUAAUCG